UACGUAGGGUGCAAGCGUUUGUCCGGAAUUAUUGGGCGUAAAGAGCUCGUAGGCGGCUUGUCGCGUCGGCUGUGAAAACCUGGGGCUCAACCCCGGGCCUGCAGCCGAUACGGGCAAGCUAGAGUUCGGUAGGGGAGACUGGAAUUCCUGGUGUAGCGGUGAAAUGCGCAGAUAUCAGGAGGAACACCGGUGGCGAAGGCGGGUCUCUGGGCCGAUACUGACGCUGAGGAGCGAAAGCAUGGGUAGCGAACAGG
rnacentral:rRNA from 1 species